rnacentral:rRNA from 1 species
GUGAGGAAUAUUGCGCAAUGGAGGCAACUCUGACGCAGCCAUGCCGCGUGCAGGAAGAAGGCGCUACGCGUUGUAAACUGCUUUUAACCGGGAAGAAACCCCAGGACGUGUCCUGGGUUGACGGUACCGGAGGAAUAAGCACCGGCUAACUUCGUGCCAGCAGCCGCGGUAAUACGAAGGGUGCAAGCGUUAUCCGGAUUCAUUGGGUUUAAAGGGUGCGUAGGCGAAGCGUUAAGUCAGUGGUGAAAUCCUGCAGCUUAACUGUAGACGUGCCAUUGAUACUGGCGCUCUUGAGUGCGCUUGAAGUGGGCGGAAUGUGCCGUGUAGCGGUGAAAUGCUUAGAUAUGGCACAGAACACCAAUUGCGAAGGCAGCUCACUAAGGCGAUACUGACGCUGAGGCACGAAAGCGUGGGGAUCGAACAGGAUUAGAUACCCUUGUAGUCC